GACGUAGGGCGCGAGCGUUGUCCGGAAUUAUUGGGCGUAAAGAGCUCGUAGGCGGUCUGUCGCGUCGAAUGUGAAAACCCGGGGCUCAACCCCGGGCCUGCAUUCGAUACGGGCAGACUAGAGUUCGGUAGGGGAGUCUGGAAUUCCUGGUGUAGCGGUGGAAUGCGCAGAUAUCAGGAGGAACACCAACGGCGAAGGCAGCUCGCUGGGACGGUACUGACACUGAGGCGCGAAAGCGUGGGGAGCGAACAGG
rnacentral:rRNA from 1 species